rnacentral:sRNA from 1 species
AUGUGAUUCCACUAUCAUAGUUGAAGCAACCUUCAUUCCAAGAUUUGUUAAGUCGAGCUGAAGAAGAAUUCGGGGUUUGAUCAUCUCAUGGGUGCUAUCACAAUCCCGUGCUGUGAAGAUACCUUCCUUGAUCUCACCUCUUACUUAAGUGUAUGAGCAUUAGGCGGCUAACAUAUAUUUUACAGCACAGUUUUGACACCAGUUGCUGCAGAGGCUUCUGAUAAUUUCAUGGGCUCCAAUUCCAAACCGCUUGAGAGCUCAUGAUCAAAAUGGCCAGCCCAGCGGACUUAACUUCAAUGACACCAAGCCAAGAAUGUCAUAUGAAGUUGAAAGAUAUCAAGAAUGUUUAUUGAAAAUCCUUUAUACUUAUUACUUGUUCUGCAAAGAUAAUUGAUAAUAUACUAUUUUUCUUGUUC